GUUGUGCUCAGUGGUAGAGUGCUGGCCUAGUGCAUGCAAGGCCCUGGGUUCAAUCCUUAGCACAACA
rnacentral:tRNA from 1 species